rnacentral:sRNA from 1 species
CGUGCAGUGCAGGCCGGCACCGCACGUUCUCGUUCACGAGCACAAAUAUAGCCGCCGACAACAACGUCUCCGGCAUCAGUGACGCCGCCACCGCUCGCAGCCUGAGACCA